UACGAAGGGGGCUAGCGUUGCUCGGAAUCACUGGGCGUAAAGGGUGCGUAGGCGGGUCUUUAAGUCAGAGGUGAAAUCCUGGAGCUCAACUCCAGAACUGCCUUUGAUACUGAGGAUCUUGAGUUCGGGAGAGGUGAGUGGAACUUGCGAGUGUAGAGGUGAAAUUCGUAGAUAUUCGCAAGAACACCAGUGGCGAAGGCGGCUCACUGGCCCGAUACUGACGCUGAGGCACGAAAGCGUGGGGAGCAAACAGGG
rnacentral:rRNA from 1 species